rnacentral:rRNA from 1 species
UUACCGAGUGUUUGAUGCUCGUAGUAGUAUAGGUUGUCCGUCCUCCCAUCCGUGUCUAUUGUACCCUGUCGCUUCGGCGGGCCCGCCCUCUUGUGAUGCGGCUGAUAGAUGCUCUGCCCCCGGGCCCGCGCCCGCCGGAGACCUCAACCAUUAUGCUCGCUAGGAAGGUUGCAGUCUGAGUACCAUGCUCGUAGUCGUUAAAACUUUCAACAACGGAUGCUGCUGAUGUGGCAUCGAUGAAGAACGCAGAUGCUCGCUGAUAGUGGUGUGAAUUGCAGAAUUCAGUGAAUCAUCGAGUCUUUGAACGCACAGAUCGCUGUCUGGUAUUCCGGGGGGCAUGCCUGUCCGAGCGUCAUUGCUGCCCUCAAGCACGGCUUGUGUGUUGGGCCCCCGUCCCCCUCUUUUUAGGCGGGGGACGGGCCCGAAAGGCAGCGGCGGCACCGUGUCCGGAUGCUCGUAGUAAUGCUCGCUAACUCUUUUUGUCACCCGCCCUGUAAUGCUCGUAGUAGGCCUGCCCAACCCUCAAUCAAUCUUUUUAACCAGGUUGACCUCGGAUCAGUGGGCCCAAGUCGUCGCUGAUAGUAGGAUAGUCGCUCGAUGGCUCGCUGA